CGCGCCGGGCUCCAGCUACCUUUCCCACCGCCGCUUCAGCCGCGCUACCGCAGACAGAGGACGCCCAGUGGCGGCUGGAAGCCUGUGCUGGCGGCACUCUGAUGCUUCCAUAUUGUCCUCCUCCACAGUCACAGCCAGUGUUUGAAGCCGUUCUUCACUGGGUUCUUCUGCCUCCCCAGAUAUUUCCUGAAAGCUGCAUCUGACUCCUGCUCCAGGAUCUCCCUCUCUGCGGAAAGCCUUUCUCUUCCUCCUACUUUUUUCAAACCAAGCAAACUUGGUUUGCUCCUGCAAACAUGUUCUCCCUCAUGCAUCCUCCAUAAGGAGUAACACUGCUGAAUAAACACUGCAAAGCUGAACUUACAGCCCAGAAUGUGCUCUCUCUGCACUGGAUUUGCAGUCUGGCUUACAAGAAAAAGAGUCGGGGGCUAAGCCUUCUUCCAAAUCAACAAAAGAAUUGAUCUGGAAUGAGGAACCGGAGUAGAGUAAGUCAUAUCUUGAAAAUAGAGAUUUCAAUGUGUAAUUAUUUUUGCAAGGUGACUUGGUUUGGGAUUCCCAGAAGCAGACUCCAAGCAAGUGAUUUAUUAGUGAAGUCCUCCCAGGAGAAAUUGGUGAGGGAAGCAAGACUGUAAAGAAAAAAAAGCCAAGCAAGGCUGUAGUAGCAGGUAAAGUCCUUUUGAGGGUAGCAGGACUUCCACAGACAGUGUUGGUGAGAGCUAGUGGAGGUAAAAGUAUAGGUCACUUGGGAGAGGGGUGCUCAAAAAGGAUAAAAAAGAGAUCUGAGAGGGUCUGGGCAGAGCACUGACUCCGUCAGUGUUUCUGAGAAAGUUCAUCUCUGGGAUGCAGUUCAAAAUAAAGAUGGAGUCUCUUGCAUAAGACAGUUAUAAAUGAAGAAAUUGUUUUCAAUGUUUGGGAUCUAAAUUUAGGCAAGUGAAUUAAACUUUGGAGUUACACCAAAAAUGAGAAUUGGAGUCUGAAGAUGAUACAACUGGGGCUCUGCAGAGACUGAGAAAAGGAAAGCUCCGAAGAGGAAGUGGUAUUUUUUGCUGGAAAGAAAUGGAAGAAAAAUGGGAGAAUUAGACUAAUUAUUAGGAAACUGUGCAUGAGUAAAUUACAUUGACAGAUUAAUUGAGAUUGAAAGGCUUAGAAGAUGAAUAAUCUAAAUUAGUGAAAGAUUAGAAAAAGAAUGAACUCUUCUGAGAAUUGAGUGCUUUAUACAAAUUUGUAUGAACCACAAAUUAAAAUAAUAUCAACAUUAUCUAACUUCCCAGCCAAGUCAAUAUUACAUCCAAGGGGCAGAGGUGUCCUCAAAACUGUCUCCCUCUAAGCAAUGACAGACACUCGGCAAUGGCUGUACACAGUCUCUGUGGGAAAGGUGGAUGAGAAGAAAACUGUGAAAUAUUUUCAGCCAAGUAUAUGUGCUGACAUCUGGCUGGCUAACUGGGCAUGAAUUAGUUAACAUUAGUCAUUGAAGACAAAACAACUCAUUUUUGCAGGAUUGUUAUAUUUUUCCCAUAUCACAUACAUAAAGAAGCACUAUGGAAUCAAGGAGGAAUAGUCUUGAAAGCACCUUGAGGAAGCUUCUCCAAUACAAGCACGGGGAUUACAAAUUCCUAUUCUAUGUAAAAUAAUGUCAUGGGGAGUAAUAAGUAAUACAUAAUAGAUAAGGUGGACGAUAUGUCUUGACUUAAAUGUUUUGGACAAAAAAGAAAUUUGAAGGUGUAUCUUAGACUGGCAGUGUAUUAUCAUUGCCUCUAAAUUAC